rnacentral:piRNA from 1 species
AGGCCAGCUUUCUCUUCUUGGUCA